CUCAGGACGAACGCUGGCGGCGUGCUUAACACAUGCAAGUCGAACGGAAAGGCCCUUCGGGGUACUCGAGUGGCGAACGGGUGAGUAACACGUGGGUGAUCUGCCCUGCACUUUGGGAUAAGCCUGGGAAACUGGGUCUAAUACCGAAUACACCUCGCUGGCCGCAUGGUCUGGUGGGGGAAAGCUUUUGCGGUGUGGGAUGGGCCCGCGGCCUAUCAGCUUGUUGGUGGGGUGAUGGCCUACCAAGGCGACGACGGGUAGCCGGCCUGAGAGGGUGACCGGCCACACUGGGACUGAGAUACGGCCCAGACUCCUACGGGAGGCAGCAGUGGGGAAUAUUGCACAAUGGGCGCAAGCCUGAUGCAGCGACGCCGCGUGGGGGAUGACGGCCUUCGGGUUGUAAACCCCUUUCAGCACAGACGAAGCGCAAGUGACGGUAUGUGCAGAAGAAGGACCGGCCAACUACGUGCCAGCAGCCGCGGUAAUACGUAGGGUCCGAGCGUUGUCCGGAAUUACUGGGCGUAAAGAGCUCGUAGGUGGUUUGUCGCGUUGUUCGUGAAAACUCACAGCUCAACUGUGGGCGUGCGGGCGAUACGGGCAGACUGGAGUACUGCAGGGGAGACUGGAAUUCCUGGUGUAGCGGUGGAAUGCGCAGAUAUCAGGAGGAACACCGGUGGCGAAGGCGGGUCUCUGGGCAGUAACUGAC
rnacentral:rRNA from 1 species